UGGUUAGACAGCUACAGCAUAUGGUGGAUGCCUUGGCACAAAACAGCGACGAAGGACGUAGCAGCCUGCGAUAAGCCCCGGGGAGGUGGCAAGCAACCUUUGAUCCGAGGAUUUCCGAAUGGGGAAACCCUAUUCCGAUAAUAUCGGGAUAACCCCGCAGCAAUGUGGGGAGCGUACCCGGUGAAGUGAAACAUCUCAGUAACCGGAGGAACAGAAAAUUAGAAUGAUUCCCUGAGUAGUGGCGAGCGAAAAGGGAUUAGCCGAAACGUAUUUGACUAUUGUUCGUGUAAUUCGUUAUUCGAAAGAAUGAUUGGAAAGCAUAUUCAUGAAGGCGCAAGGGCCACAUGUCUUAUACGUGUUAAAAGAGAGCAGUGAUUUCAUCCUUGAAAAUGAGAGAGAGAGGAAUCCCCUUCGGGGGUUUGAUUCUUAGGAGAAAGGCCUGGAACGGCCUGCCAGAGAAGGUGAUAGCCCUGUAAACGAAAAGAAUUAAAACUCUCUGAUUGUUUAUCUUGAGUACCACGAGGCUCGAGAAACCUUGUGGGAAGUCCGGCCGACUAUAGGUCGAAGGCUAAAUAUGUUUUGUGACCGAUAGCGUAUAGUACCGUGAGGGAAAGGUGAAAAGCAGCCCGGUGAGGGCGAUGAAAUAGUAUCUGAAACCAUAUGCGAACAAAGAGUCAGAGCCUUGGCGCAAGCCGGGGUGAUGGCGUUCCUAUUGAAGAAUGAUCCAACGAGUUUAUUCCACGUUGCUCGUCUAAGUCACUGCGGUGACGGAGGCAGAGCGAAAGCGAGUCUUACAAGGGCGUUACCUUUGAUAUAUCGACAGUUCGAUGCUUCGAACUAUCGAUAUAUCUUGGGUAGGCAGCGUGGAUGAGACCCGAACGGGGGUGAGCUAGCCAUGGCCAGGGUGAACCUUGUCGAAAGACAAGGGGAGGCCCGAACACACGAGCCGUGCAACACUUGGUGAUGAGCUGUGGCUAGGGGAGAAAUUCCAAUCGAACCCCCUAAUAGCUGGUUCUCCUCGAAAUAGCUUAAGGGCUAGCCUCGGAUGUUCCUUGCAGGGGUAGAGCACUGAAUGGGGUGCGAUAGCGCAAGCUUACGUACCUCAACCAAACUCCGAAUACUGCAAAUUAAUAAUCCGGGAGUCAGACGAUGGGGGCGAAGCUCCAUUCGUCAUAAGGGAAACAGCCCAUGACCACCAUCUAAGGUCCCUAAAUGUAUGUUCAGUGUAAAAGGUAGUGAGGCGACUUGGACAACGAGGAGGUUGGCUUAGAAGCAGCCAUCCUUUAAAGAAAGCGUAACAGCUCACUCGUCAAGUUGCCUUGCGCCGAAAAUGCAACGGGGCUAAACAUACUACCGAAGGUGUGGACUGUGCCGAUUUAUCGGCAUAUGUGGUAGAGGAGCGUCCUGUUUGCGAUGAAGCGUACGCCGUAAGGCGGCGUGGAGCGGACAGGAGUGCGAAUGUUGGAAUAAGUAGCAAAAAGUCAAGUGAAAACCUUGACCACCGUAAAUCCAAGGUUUCCUGGGCAACGCAACUCGACCCAGGGUGAGUCGAUCCUAAGGUGAGGCCCCAAAGGCGUAACCGAUGGAAGAGCAGGUUAAUAUUCCUGCACUACCGUACGAGUCAUUUCUUCGUGCGCUUUCAUGUGGUGCGUGUGUGCUUUGGAUAUGCACAUGUAUUCUGCAGCAAUGCAGAGGACGCAGGUGAAGUCGCAAGACCGAGCCAAUACGCAUAAAGUGAGAGCCAAGAAAAGCGAAGAAACUUUGUCGUGCGGUACCCGUACCGUAAACCGACACAGGUGGAUGGGGAGAGUAUCCCAAGGUGUACGAGAGAACCCUCGCUCAGGAACUCGGCAAUAUAACGACCGUAACUUCGGGAUAAGGUCUGCCCCGCGCAAGCGGGGCCGCAGCGAAAGACGCUUGGCGACUGUUUAACAAAAACACAGGUCCCUGCGAAGCCGUAAGGCAAAGUAUAGGGACUGAUGCCUGGCCAGUGUCAGAACGUUACGAGGAGAGGUCAUCCCGUCGCAAGACGGGGGCAGCCUUGAAUCUAAGCGCUGAUGAACGCCGGCGAUAACUAUAAUCGUCCUAAGGUGGAUCUACUGCCUUAGUGGAGUGUAAGACUCCCUUCGAACUUCGUAUGCCGCGGAGAUGUAGAAGAAAAUUUGGCUGUAUGCUGGAAUCUCUGUCGUAUCUGGAGCUACUAUGGUAUAAUUCGACCAUAGAAUUAUGCCACGUAAAAAUGCUUCCAGUGCAGACAACCAGCAGGAAAGACUAGCGAUUCCAUCGUGGAUUGUUGGUUUUGUUGAUGGAGAAGGAAGUUUUCUUAUUAGCCUUUUCCGAAACAUAACAACAAAACAUGGAUGGCAAGUGUUCCCCGAGUUUAUCGUGACGCAAGGUGCAAAGAGCGUUCAUGUUCUUCAUGAAAUGCAAAAAUUCUUCAAUUGUGGAAAGGUGUUUGUGAACCGACGAUCAGACAAUCAUCAUGAACAUCUCUAUCGUUUCUGUGUGCGAUCGAUGAAAGAUCUUCGCGAGAAGAUUAUUCCAUUUUUUGAUCACUACAGAUUACGAACCGCGAAACGAGAAGAUUUCAUGAAAUUCAAGAAAGCGCUCAAACUUAUGGAAAAGAAAAUCCAUUCUACUAAAGAUGGGUUGGAGAAGAUUAGAAAUAUCGCGUCAACGAUGAAUCGGAAAGGAAUGCAAAAACGUUAGAAUCCUCAGAGACUAUACGCCAGACCCGCCAAUGUGGCGUGGAAGAUAUAGUCCGAACUGUAUGGCGACAUGCAGAAUCCGAACACUCAAUCGGAUCAAUCAUAGUGAUUGUAACAUUAUUAAGCGAAAUCCCUUGUCGGGUGAGUUCCGACCUGCACGAAUGGCCUAACGACCAAGCGACUGUCUUAGCGAGGGACUCGGCGAAAUUGCAAGACCUGUGAAGAUGCAGGUUACCCACGGCUAGACGAAAAGACCCCGUGAAGCUUUACUACAACUUGCUAUUGGAUUUUAUGAAAAUAUGUUCAGCGUAGGUGGGAGCCGCAAGGCGCCAAUGAGACACCACCCUUGUUUUUAUGGAAUUCUAACCAACGGUUAUUAUCUAACCGUGGGACAGUAGCUGGUGGGUAGUUUACCUGGGGCGGGUGCCUCCUAAAAAGUAACGGAGGCGUAUACAAAGGUAGGCUUAGCUCGGAUGGAAAUCGAGCAUGACGCGCAAACGCACAAGCCUGCUUGACUGCGAGUCUGACAGGACGAGCAGCUACGAAAGUAGAUGUUAGUGAUCCGACCAUUCAACAUAGGAUGGUGGAAGCUCAUCGGAUAAAAGCUACUCCGGGGAUAACAGGCUGAUCGCCUCCAAGAGCUCAUAUCGACGAGGCGGUUUGGCACCUCAACACAAUCGGGGUGCACAAACAGUAAUGUUUAUCCUCAUAAGUUCGUCUAAACUGUAUAAAAGUUAGAUAGAUAGGAAAGAGACAAAUCGGCUUAUAACGGUGAACCCGUAUCCGCUUCACGGCGGACGGCAACACCGUGGGAAGUCAGCACUGCUAUGCAGUGGAAUGUCUAAUUAACCUAAUUAACCUAAUUCCUAAAAUUUAGAAAUUAGAAUAAUUAGAAAUUAGAAAUUUAGCGCGUAGCGCUCAUGACCCCGUAACGACUGACCCGAAAGGGAAGAUUCACCUCGUCUUAUAGGUGGAUCACACGCCGACUCUUGCACAAGUCAUAACUGAGAUCAUGCGGGUCACGCUCCGACCUUACGUCGGAGUCCGCUAUCAUCCAGCGCAAGAAGAAGAUAUAGUCUACGCCACACGAAAUUGUGGAAUCAAGUACGAUGUCGGCUCAUCGCAUCCUGGUGGUGGAGAAGCUACCAAGGGUUUGGCUGUUCGCCAAUUAAAGCGGUACGCGAGCUGGGUUCAGAACGUCGUGAGACAGUUCGGUCUCCUAUCUGUCGUGGGCGCGGAAAUUUGCGGAGAUUCUUCCCUAGUACGAGAGGACCGGGAAGGAUGAACCUCUGAUGUACCGGUUGUUCUACCAAGAGCAUCGCCGGGUAGUCAAGUUCAGUUCGGAUAAGCGCUGAAAGCAUCUAAGCGCGAAGCCUCCUCCAAGAUCAGAUUUCGUUAUUGAGGUCCCGUGUAGACUACACGGUAUAUAGGCGAUACGUGUAAGACCCGUAAGGGUUUCAGCGGAGUCGUCCUAAUAGACCCAUUGUUUAACCACA
rnacentral:rRNA from 1 species